CUCAAGAGCUGGAAAAGGAUUUGAGUUACUCAUACUCUCCCCAUAAAACUCACGACCAACUGCUUUUACAUUGGGAAGCCCUUUGAUAAACAAGUCCUUGAGAGAGCAAAGCAGCCCAAGUUGAGGCAAGGUUGUGCAUUUUGUGCAAUUCCACAACUUUAGGUGCACCAGAUUACAAAAUAAAGGAUCCCCAACCCAUGAUGGGAAUUCGGUACCACCAUAACCCCUUACAGUGAGCUCUUUCAAAUUUCCAUGUGGUUUCAUCUUCUCUAGUACAACUCUAUCAUGACUUGCAUUUCGUGUAUUUCGAAAUCCCCAUUUCAUCACCACCUUGUCUAUUCUCUCCUUGUCCGUUAAGAUGGCUCCCACUACAUUUGAAGCAUUAGUCAGAUUCUCCAAACUUGAAAUGCGGAGUGCCCCUUGAAGAAAUUUUAAAUUCAUCAAAGCUGUUAUACCCACUUCAUUGCCUUUCCCUACAACAAAAUCAGACAAUGUCCGAAGACUUCUCAAUUUUUCCAUUCCCUGCGGCAUCACUUUAAGAGCUGUCCAUCGGAUAUCAAGAUGACGUAGGUUGAUCAGAUUUUGCAUUUCUGAUGGCAAGUUCUUUAGAUCACAACAGCCUUGCAGCAGCAUAGUUUGUAAAUUACAUAGAGAGGUUGUUCUCUCAGGUAAAGUUACAAUACGAGUGUAUGAAAGGUCGAGAUACCUUAGAUGCUUCAAGUCACCUAUUGAAUCUGGUAGCUUAGUGAUUUUAUAAUGAUUGAAGGACAGCACCCUUAAGAAUCGUAACUUUGAAAACAAAUAAGAAGGAAUGCAAUUUGCUAAGCAGAUAUCCAUAUCACCAGCUAGUGAUAGGGGCAGGAAGGUUCGCAUAUGCUUCAUGGUUUCAAAUGGCUCAAAUCUUUCACAGCGAUCAAAGCCAGGGAUGUAAGAAGAGUGGCGAGCUUUUUCUGGCUUACUUGCGGUCAAUUUAUCUUCCAAUCUGAAACAUGCACCUCCAGCAACCACUUGUGCUAGUUCAAGCACGAGGCCAUGCAUCACGAAUCCACCAUUGCUUGAAGAUUGAAAAAGUGAUCUGGAAAAUAGAUCUUGAAAAUACUCUUCACCAACAUCCUCCAUACGAUCUCCUUGCUCAAUUAAACCUUCUGCCAUCCAUAGAAGGACUAGUUCCUUUUCCUCAAAUUCAUAAUCUUUUGGAAGAAUUGCACAGUACGCAAAACACCUCUUUAAGUAUGAAGGGAGAUGAUAGUAACUUAAUCUUAACACAGGAAGAACAUCACCAUCAACACCUUGCAAAUUCCAUAUUUUGCUGUUCAAUAAAUUGUCCCAUUCACUGGCAUCUUUUGCCCGAAAAAGGCCACCCAAAGUCUUUGCUGCCAAAGGCAAGCCUCCACACCUGUAUAUGGCUCUUUCGCGUAGGGUUUCCAAAUUUGGAUAUGCAAUAAUACUUCUAUUUUCAAAAGCAUGCCUAGAAAACAAUAACCAGCAAUCAUCAUCCGAAAUACAAGUCAAAGCAUGACUGUCAACAGUUCCCAUCAUUUGUGCAACAACUGUACUGCGUGUUGUUAUAAUGACUUUACUUCCUUGAGCUCCAUCCAUAAAUGGGGAACUUAAGGUAUUCCAAUCUUCAUAGCUCUCACUCCAAACAUCAUCUAAAACUAUGAGAAACUGUUUUCCAGCUAAUUCCUUGGACAACUUCAGUUGAACUUGAUUCAACUCCUUCAGAUCACAAGGCUGCCAAGUGAUUGAUUCAAGAAUGGCCUUUGUUAUUCUCAUAAUAUCAAAUUCAUCUGAGACACAAACCCAUGCUUUUGCAUCAAAAUGUUGGGAUGCUUUAUCAUGGUACACAAGCCGGGCAAGUGUUGUUUUACCAACCCCACCCAUUCCAACAAUGGGUAUCACAGAAACCUUUGGAUCAGCGGUUCCAUCCCUUAACAGCAAAUCGAGAAUUCUCCUUUUAUCUUCAUCUCUGCCGUACACUUGCGGUUCAUUUUGCAAACACGUAGUGGGUGGUGGUUGAUAGAGCUUUUUAGACAUCUUUCCAACGUUCUCUCUCAAAUCUAAGUCAUUUCUCUGGGCUACAAUAUCUUCUAAUCUGGUAGUGAUUUCCUCUAUCUUGGUCAUCAUCUUGGAAUUAAACAUGAUAAUUUUCGGAUUGAAACUAGUACAACAAGUGGGAAGGAAUUUUUGAAGCUUACUAGUGGUGGGUUGAGGAUCUCCCAAUCCCAUCAAGUGGCGUCCCAAACAUUGAGUAGCAAAUUCAUCCAAGACGUCCUCCACAUCGUAAGCCAAGCAUUUGAGGUUGGUGAGCCAAAUCUUCACCGAUCGAUUAGCAGUCUGCUUGUCCUCGGCAUCGUCAAGCACAGCAUUGAUUUUGAGUAACAUUUUCUCCCACUUGUUAAUCUGAGCAAGAACUUGCUUCUCACGAGCAAAUUUCAGCAACUCUGAGGAGGCAAUCUUUUCAAAAAGCACCUGAAAGAGCGCAGACAAAGCAGCACUACCAAUAACAGACAUCGUUUCUUGCAUGAAAGUAGAAACAGAGGAUUAUGGCAGAGAAAAGGGUUGAUUGAUCCGGAGCAAACAGAGAAAAGGAUUAACAAGGAAGAUGAGAUUUUAGAGAGAGAGAGUUGACUUUGACUUCGAUUCCCU
rnacentral:misc_RNA from 1 species